GAUCACCGAGGAUCUGGAGAGAAAGAAAGAGCAAGAGAGAGAGAAACGUCUAUCUCAGGGUUUAAGGGCAACUGAGAACAUUUUCCUUAUUUCCUGAAGCUUAAGUUGCUCACUUCAACCCUUUGAAGGAAAAAAGAAGCAAGAAAAAGGUCACUGGGUCCAUUCAACCCUUUCUUCAAUAUCCAUCAACUGUUGCUUGAAGGGUUAGAAAAAUUCCUGCCCGAUGAUGCCUAUAUCAGGGUCAGUGGAAAGCUUCAUAUAUCACUCACGAGG